GUUUUACAAGCGGCUGCCAGAGAAAACGGAUUUGCUGGUGACCCCUGCCACGGCGGCAAACACAGCAACGAGCGGCUCACUGUCCUCGUUGGCAGCAACAUGUCAGGCAGCGAGAAGCUUCCGUUACUAGUACUAAUAGGCAAGUCGAAGCAUUCAAGAUGUUUCAAGGGGGUAGUAACUCUGCC
rnacentral:lncRNA from 1 species